rnacentral:sRNA from 1 species
UCCACGUCUGCCCCAAUGGACGCCUC